AUUUUCUAACAUGACAUCGAUUCUAUGUACACAUAGAUAUGGAUAACAUGAUUUCUAUUCUGACAAUGCUUAUACUCAAGUUGAAAAGGAAAUCCUCUCACUUUUUUGGUCCUUUGAGUUUUAUAAAGAAAGGAAAAGGUGAAGAAAAUGAUAAAAAGAAGAGUGUGAGUGAGAAGCAGAGCAUUGAUGUGUCAGCCAGGGUGCCACCCUGGCACAGCCAGCCCGUGUUCUGCCUUGCUGGGCCUGCCUGACAGGAGCCCCUCUCAACCUGGACUCAACAUUCAGAAGAGAGCAUCCCUAUUUGAAGCUUCAGAGUGAAUGUCAAACCACAUGUUUGUUUCUUCAUCAUUUCUUUGCCAAUUUUUCACAUAGGAGUAUUCAUUUCUGGUGCCCCCAUCCCAAACAAAAACGAAAACAAAAACACGAAGAACACAACUGUUCCGGAAACUG